rnacentral:rRNA from 1 species
GAUGAACGCUGGCGGCGUGCCUAAUACAUGCAAGUCGAGCGAACGGACGAGAAGCUUGCUUCUCUGAUGUUAGCGGCGGACGGGUGAGUAACACGUGGAUAACCUACCUAUAAGACUGGGAUAACUUCGGGAAACCGGAGCUAAUACCGGAUAAUAUUUUGAACCGCAUGGUUCAAAAGUGAAAGACGGUCUUGCUGUCACUUAUAGAUGGAUCCGCGCUGCAUUAGCUAGUUGGUAAGGUAACGGCUUACCAAGGCAACGAUGCAUAGCCGACCUGAGAGGGUGAUCGGCCACACUGGAACUGAGACACGGUCCAGACUCCUACGGGAGGCAGCAGUAGGGAACCUUCCGCAAUGGGCGAAAGCCUGACGGAGCAACGCCGCGUGAGUGAUGAAGGUCUUCGGAUCGUAAAACUCUGUUAUUAGGGAAGAACAUAUGUGUAAGUAACUGUGCACAUCUUGACGGUACCUAAUCAGAAAGCCACGGCUAACUACGU